rnacentral:rRNA from 1 species
CUAAGGCGAGGCAGAAAUGCGUAGUCGAUGGGAAAUUGGUUAAUAUUCCAAUACCUCUUUAGAGUGCGAUGGGGGGACGGAGAAGGCUAGGCCAGCGCGGCGACGGUUGUCCGCGUUUAAGCCGGUAGGCUUGCAUCUUAGGUAAAUCCGGGAUGCUCUAUGCCGAGACGUGAUGACGAAGAUUCUACGGAAUCGAAGUGGUCGAUGCCAUGCUUCCAGGAAAAGCCUCUAAGCUUCAGCUCUAAAGAGACCGUACCCCAAACCGACACAGGUGGUCAGGUAGAGAAUACUAAGGCGCUUGAGAGAACUCGGGUGAAGGAACUAGGCAAAAUGGCACCGUAACUUCGGGAGAAGGUGCGCCGGUUGGAGUGAAGGGUUUACCCCGUAAGCUCCGACUGGUCGAAGAUACCAGGUGGCUGCAACUGUUUACUAAAAACAUAGCACUGUGCAAACACGUAAGUGGACGUAUACGGUGUGACGCCUGCCCGGUGCCGGAAGGUUAAUUGAUGGGGUUAGCUUAUGCGAAGCUCUUGAUCGAAGCCCCGGUAAACGGCGGCCGUAACUAUAACGGUCCUAAGGUAGCGAAAUUCCUUGUCGGGUAAGUUCCGACCUGCACGAAUGGCGUAAUGAUGGCCACGCUGUCUCCACCCGAGACUCAGUGAAAUUGAAAUCGCAGUGAAGAUGCUGUGUAUCCGCGGCUAGACGGAAAGACCCCGUGAACCUUUACUACAGCUUCACAGUGGACUUUGAUAUGACUUGUGUAGGAUAGCUGGGAGGCUUUGAAACGUGGACGCCAGUUCACGUGGAGCCAAUCUUGAAAUACCAGCCUGGUCAUGUUGAGGUUCUAACUCAGUUCCCUUAGCGGGAUCGAGGACAUUGUGUGGUGGGUAGUUUGACUGGGGCGGUCUCCUCCCAAAGAGUAACGGAGGAGCACGAAGGUACCCUCAGCACGGUCGGACAUCGUGCAAUGAGUGCAAGCGCAUAAGGGUGCUUAACUGCGAGACUGACACGUCGAGCAGGUACGAAAGUAGGUGCUAGUGAUCCGGUGGUUCUGUAUGGAAGGGCCAUCGCUCAACGGAUAAAAGGUACUCCGGGGAUAACAGGCUGAUACCGCCCAAGAGUUCACAUCGACGGCGGUGUUUGGCACCUCGAUGUCGGCUCAUCACAUCCUGGGGCUGAAGCCGGUCCCAAGGGUAUGGCUGUUCGCCAUUUAAAGUGGUACGCGAGCUGGGUUUAGAACGUCGUGAGACAGUUCGGUCCCUAUCUGCCGUGGACGUUGGAGACUUGAGAAGAGCUGCUCCUAGUACGAGAGGACCGGAGUGGACGAACCUCUGGUGUUCGGGUUGUCAUGCCAAUGGCAUUGCCCGGUAGCUAUGUUCGGACAGGAUAACCGCUGAAAGCAUCUAAGCGGGAAGCCCCCUUCAAGAUGAGGUCUCACUGAAGCCUUGAGCUUCCUAAAGGGCCCUUGAAGACUACAAGGUUGAUAGGUCAGGUGUGUAAGCGUUGUGAGGCGUUGAGCUAACUGAUACUAAUGGCCCGUGAGGCUUGACCAUA